rnacentral:lncRNA from 1 species
UGUUGUGGUUGUUGUUGUUGUUGUUGUUGUUGUUGUUGUUGUUGUUGCUAUCAUUGUUGUUGUUGUUGUUGUUGUUGUUGUGGUUGUUGUUCUUGUCGUUCUUGUUGUUGUUGUUGUUGUCGUUGUCGUUCUUGUCGUUGUUGUCGUGGUGUCGCUACUGUCAUUGUUGUUGUUAUCGUUCUUAUCGUUGUUCUCGUCAUUGCCCUUGUUGUCGUCGUCGUCGUUAUUAUUGUGGUUGUUUUUGUUGUUGUUGUAGUUGUUGUUGUUAUCGUCGUCGUCUGUGUCGUCCUUGGUGUUGUUGUUGUUGUUGUUGUUGUCGUUGUUGUGUAACAUCCCAAUUUUCCUAAAUUCGGAUGUUA